rnacentral:rRNA from 1 species
GCGAACGCAGGGAACUGAAACAUCUCAGUACCUGCAGGAAAGGAAAUCAACCGAGACUCCGUCAGUAGCGGCGAGCGAACGCGGA